rnacentral:rRNA from 1 species
UGGGGAAUAUUGGACAAUGGGGGCAACCCUGAUCCAGCCAUGCCGCGUGAGUGAUGAAGGCCUUCGGGUUGUAAAGCUCUUUUGGCGGGGACGAUGAUGACGGUACCCGCAGAAUAAGCCCCGGCUAACUUCGUGCCAGCAGCCGCGGUAAGACGAAGGGGGCUAGCGUUGUUCGGAAUUACUGGGCGUAAAGCGAGUGUAGGCGGUUGCCGUAGUCAGGUGUGAAAGCCUUGAGCUCAACUCAAGAAAUGCACUUGAUACUGGGUGACUAGAGGACCGGAGAGGAUAGUGGAAUUCCCAGUGUAGUGGUGAAAUACGUAGAGAUUGGGAAGAACACCAGUGGCGAAGGCGGCUAUCUGGACGGUUACUGACGCUAAGACUCGAAAGCGUGGGGAGCAAACAGGAUUAGAUACCCUGGUAGUCCACGCCGUAAACGAUGGGUGCUAGACGUUGGCGAGCUUGCUCGUCAGUGUCGCAGCUAACGCGUUAAGCACCCCGCCUGGGGGAGUACGGCCGCAAGGUUGAAAACUCAAAUGAAUUGACGGGGGUCAUAGCUGUUUUCCU